ensembl:lncRNA
GGGCCCUGUAGCCAUCAUCCCAUUACAAAUAACUGACUCCCAGGAGGAAGAGCCCACCCCAUGUCCAUACACCCCGUGCCAUCUCUCUCCUCCUAGUUGAUCCCACAGUGUCUUCACUGCUCAGCCCCCACCCAAAGCUGAGCACAGUCUCCUGUCAGGGACCAGCAGAGGCUCUCAGCGUGUGCUGCCUACUGCAGCUGACAUUCUUACACAAACACAGUCGUCCUCACUUCCUCCACAGGCACUCUGAAAAGGGAAAUAAAGCUUUAACAUAAGCGUUUAUCAAAAAAAUCAAUGCAAAAGAAAAGUGACAAGUGGAUAUCCUAUGACCACAAUUAACAUUUUCCCAAAAUACAAAGAUAAUCUGACAUUAGAAAACUUUUAAUAGUAUCAUUUCUCAGUAAAUACAACAGUGGAUUCACCAAUCAGAGGCAGAGACAAGCAAAGACUUGACUUACAGAUACACCUAAAUAAAUCCAGAAGAACGCAGGCGAUGACUGUAAACAAUAAAAUUUAAAUGUGACAUCUGGAAACUGGAUCCCUUCCUUACACCUUAUAUAAAAAUUAAUUCAAGAUGGAUUAAAGAUGUAAACAUUAGACCUAAAACCAUAAAAACCCUACAAGUAAACCUAGGCAAUACCAUUCAGGACAUAGGCAUGGGCAAGGACUUCAUGACUAAAACACCAAAAGCAAUGGCAACAAAAGCCAAAAUAGACAAAUGGGAUCUAAUUAAACUAAAGAGCUUCUGCACAGCAAAAGAAACUACCAUCAGAGUGAACAGGCAACCUACAGAAUGGGAGAAAAUUUUUGCAAUCUACCCAUCUGACAAGGUCUAAUAUCCAGAAUUUACAAGGAACUUAAACAAAUUUACAAGAAAAAAACAAACAACCCCAUCAAAAAGUGGGCAAAGGACAUGAACAGACAUUUCUCAAAAGAAGACAUUUAUGCAACCAACAUAUGAAGAAAAGCUCAUCAUCAUUGAUCAUUAGAGGACUGCAAAUCAAAAUCACUUUGAGAUGCCAUCUCAUGCCAGUCAGAAUGGUGAUUAUUAAAAAGUCUAGAAACAACAGAUGUGGGUGAGGCUGUGGAGAAAUAGGAACAGUUUUAUACCGUUGGUGGGAAUGUAAAUUAGUUCAACCAUUAUGGAAGACAGUGUGGUCAUUCCUAAGGAUCUAGAACUAGAAAUACCAUUUGACCCAGUGAUCUCAUUACUAGGUAUAUACCCAAAGGAUUAUAAAUCAUACUACUAUAAAGACAUAUGCACAUGUAUGUUUACUGCAGCACUAUUAACAAUAGCAAAGAGUUGGAACCAACUCAAAUGUCCAUCAAUGAUAGAGACUGGAUUAAGAAAAUGUGGCACAUGUACACCACGGAAUACUAUGCAGCCAUAAAAAAGGAUGAGUUCACGUCCUUUGCAGGGACAUGGAUGAAGCUAGAAACCAUCAUUCUGAGCAAACUAUCACAAGGACAGAAAACCAAACACUGCAUGUUCUCACUCAUAGGUGGGAACUGAACAAUGAGAACAUGUGGACACAGGGCAGGGAACAUCACACACUGGGGCCUGUCAGGGGCUGGGGGACUGGGGUUGGGAUAGCAUUAGGAGAAAUACCUAAUGUAAAUGACAAGUUGAUGUGUACAGCAAACCAACAUGGCACAUGUAUAUACUUAUGUAACAAAUCUGCACGUUGUGCACAUGUACCCUAGAACUUAAAGUAUUUAAAAAAAAAAAAGAAAAAAGUAACAGCUGGACUGAGCAUGGUGACUCACGCCUAUAAUCCCAGCACUUUGGGAGGUGAAGGCCGGCAGAUCACCUGAGGUCAGGAGUUCAAGACCAGCCUGGCCAACAUGGUGAAACCCUGUCUCUACUAUAAGUACAAAAAAAUUACCCAGGUAUGGUGGCCCGUGCCUGUAAUCACAGCUACUUGGGAGGCUGAGGCAGGAGAACUGCUUGAACCCAGGAGGCGGAGGCUGCAGUGAGCUGAGAUUGUGUCACUGCCCUCCAGCCUGGGUGACAGAACAAGACUUCAUCUCAAAAAAAAAAAAAAAAGAAAAA